rnacentral:rRNA from 1 species
GCGACCCCAGGAUGGGCGAGC